AUUACUCUCUGAAAACGCGAGAGGGCGCCCUUUGGCUUUUCUUGUUUUGCUGUCCGUGAGCACAUGGCGGUCGCUUUAAUCCGUUUAUUUUCGCGACUUUGUAGGAGGCAGACAACACGUAUCACUGGCACACCUCCCUGACACGGAAGUCGGUGUGAAGUCGCCAACUUGGUCUGGAAUCAACUCACUCCGAGUCAACUCCGUCUCAGGUCAACUUGGCCUUGUCAACUCUGGAAGGCAGGCACAUGGCUGCAGCAUGACUGAAAAUCUUGCUGGACUGUCAAACUUUGACAUAUAAGUAUUUCCAGAAUUCUAACAUUGCAUGUACACUAUAUUCACAUAUAGUCCUAUACUGACAUGUGCAGCUAAUAUGCAAUGCCCUUGGCUGGUUCCUUGUCUAGUCACAUGCUGCUUACAGCCAAUCAUUGGUAGUGUGGCGCGCACUCUGUGACGUGACACGAAAGUGACGAAACAGCUGUCAGCGUUGUGCAAGUGGGCAAAAUUCAACUGAAGUGGGAAAGCGGCAACAACAAGGCAACAUGUUUUCCUCCAAACGAGGAAAAGGCAAGUUUUCUGCAAUUAGCAACCUACAUGGUUUACCCUGUAAGUACAUACCGGUGCAAUUUCAGCUCAUAAAAUCAAGCGGAUGUUUGGUUAUGCCCCUGGAUAUCCCAAAUAAAGUUUUUCGAAAGAAAUCCCUAUGAAUUGGGACAGAGCCCAGUAUAUGACGGAGGACCCUUUUUAUGGGUCUACCUUUCAAUAGGCCUACAUCCAUGAUCAUGUAGGCCUACGUAGGCCUGCAUCAUACAUGACAAAAUGCCGAGUUCACACACUUGCUACUGUCACUGUGUAUUGUACUGAGUUCCAAACCCUUUGCAAUCACAUCAAUCAUGUACUGUAUGUACACGUAGGUCUAUUGACCUGAUUUCCAUUUUUAAUUUUUUUUGAAGUGCAAAAUGAACACUUUGAAAAUGUACCCAUGGUGAAGAAACUAACGUUACGCCUACUUUUCUGAAAAUAAGUGUGUACAUGCAUGUAUAUCUAGGGGUAAAAUGAGAAGUUACAUGUAUCAACUUUGAAGAACAUCUUAUGUGGGAUGUGGGAUUUUCAGAGAUUUGUUCAAGUGUAUCACAAAUAGGGAACAGUUUGCUGAAUUUGUGCCAAUUUCUAAAGGCUGUCGCUUUUGAAUUUCAGAUUUUGAAAUUUCAUGACACCAAAAUUGUUAACAGAGGUGAUCAGUAGCAUGUAUUUUGAAGUUAUAAUAUCAUUAUUUACUGUAACUGAAUGAAUUCAAAGCUUUUCAGCAAAGAGGUUUGGCAGUGAUGCAUGAGGAAAGUCAAGGAAACAUCGAGGAAACAUCGAGACUCCACUUCAUUAGAGCCAGGCUAGUGGACUAUACCUCCCUAUACGUGGCCCUACUCCUAAACUAGAAACAAAAGGAGGAAGGCUUAAACAUUGGGAUAAAGCUCCCCGGCCAUGAGCUGUAUCAACCACAUACAGGCCUGCCAUGUAAUCGAAUGCACCCUAUACACCUGCAUUGGAUUGGCACACUUUGAUGCUGCAUACACACGUGCCAAUCAGAUCAAGCCCCUUAGUGUCAUAAUAUCUGCUCUUGGAACAUUGAUAAAGGUCCAAGCAAAACGGUCAGAUUGUGGAAUCAAAGAGGGCCAGCAGUCUGCAACCUUUAGAAGAGGAGUUUUUAAAAAAUGCACUUGUUGGCAAGUAGAUAGAAGCAGAGAUGGUAGUGAGAGUGGAACCAAUGACAUUCACUUGUCUGACAAUGUAGUGGACCCGUGUGGUUUGAUGUGAGGCGGGCAACAGCUGAGUGAGGUGAGUAGCCAUAGCCGAGGGCAGGGGUAUUGAAGGAGGGGACCAACUUAGUGAGUUCAAACCGAGCGUGCAUACUAUUGGCCCAUCAAGAUGGAGAAGACACCGCAAGAGCCGUGGCAGCAUAACUGCAGCAGGUUUGCUCUCACAGGCCCCACUACUUUGAAUUUGCCAUCACCUGGGCUUGCCAGGUUUUCAAGAUGUGGCAGAGAGGGAUAACAGUGCAAAGUCCCUCGUCCACAAAGUACAUUGUCAUCUUCUGAGGGAAGAGCUAGAGGAACAAGAGGAUGAGGGAACAGCAACCUAUUUUGAUAUUCAGGCUUUUCUUCAGCAUUUGACAGAGGUGACGCCAGACAAACCACAAGCACUGAUGACCGCAAAGGCCGCGCCCAACGCCCAUUGCCACGCCCCACCCUGACAUAAAACCCGGAUUGAUGGCCCUUACUCAGCGAGAAUUAAAAAUAUCGGGUCAGAUUGGCGAGCCCGGUCAGCGAGACCGUUUAUUGUUUUCAUGCCUGGAACACCAGAUUAAGAGUGGCCAUGUCAAGGGUCACAGCAAGCUGGAAAUUGUUGAGGCUGUGAUCUGUGCUGCCAUACCCGGAUCUGCCCUCCGCAGCUACCUUGAAGGGAGGACCAAGCUGACACUACCGAGCCUCUGGCACCUACUUCGGUCACACUACCAAGAAAAAGAUGCUACCGAGCUCUACCACCAACUCUUGCAUCUAGCCCAAGAUCACAAAGAAGCAGCGCCGAGUUUCUUGGUGCAAGCUUUUGACCUACGGAAGAGGGUCGCCUUUGUGAGCCAGGAGAAUUGGUCUGGCCUGAAAUACGACUUGCCCCUGGUUCAGAGCAUGUUUCAACAUGCUGCAUUAACAGGCCUGAGAAAUGAUACAGUGAGGACUGAGAUGCGGCCCUUUCUUUUAGACCCCAUGACCACAGAUGAAAUCAUCCUUGAGAAGCUGAACACAGCAGCAAGUAAUGAGGCUGAACGCCGAGAGAAGUUAGCCCAGCCAAAACCCAUCUCCAUCGAAGUUGUGGAAUAAAGCCCAUUGGACAAAGCGGACAAGAGGAAACCCAAGCCAGGGACUCUGAUGACAGACCUUGCUGAAGUAACGGCCGGCAUUGCUGAGAUUGCUGACCUCAAGAGACGGCUUACAACACUGCAGGAUGCCCUUCACCCAUGUCAGUCCCGAGCCCAUCAACGGGAGCAGGACCAGGGACAGCCAAGCAAUCACCAACAAUUGCAAAACAACCAGACAAGAAAGAGGCUGUCCCGACUGCCAGCAACGGGAAAACGGGGACCUGUGUGAUCACUGUUACUGGUGUGGCUACAGGCAGCGUUUUGCUCAGGGAUGUUGCCAGUCUAGGGGUCAACAGUCGGGAAACGAUCAGUGGUUACCGCAGCGGGACGAUCAGUAACCAUUCAUCCAAUAGUGGUGAAGUCCCAUGUUUGUUGCAUGUCGGCGUCAAAACAGACAAAAAAACACUCAAUUUAUGGGCGAGAGAUGUCUAGUGAAUUGCUGGAUUGAAGGAAUAAAGACAAGGGCAUUGUGGGAUACCAGAGCCCAAGUGUCAAUCAUCCUCAAUGACUGGAAGAUGGCCAACAGUCCAUACUUGCGGAUACAGCCCCUGUCAGAACUCCUUGCAACAGACAACCUCACUGCAACAAAUGGCUCAUUCCUUUGACGGAUGGCUUGAAGUCGCCUUCAAAUUAGCAGACCACAACCCACCAAUUAGAGCACUGGUGUUAGUCACCCAAGUAACCACCAGUGUCCCCAUCAUUGGCUACAGUGUGAUCGAAGAGUUUGUGAAAAUGACUCUUCUCCAUUCAAAUCCAGUGCAAGCUGUUGCAGCAGUGUUCCCAUCAAUGGCAAAGCGGGAACUGUCUACCUCAUUCAGGAGGAGUUGCACAGUCUGCAGUGUGUCAGUGGGAAGGAGUGAUGUUGUAAUCCCCAAGAGAAGUGUCACAGAAGUGUCAUACCUUGCACACCCCGGCAACUUCAUAAGGGGCGCGGUAGUUCUCUUUGAGCUGGAUCCGACAACACCUUUCCCGGGUAAACUCCAGCCUCAGCCAUUGGUGAUCAAGCUUGGUAGUUCCUCCUGCAAGGUCUCCAUUCUCAUAGCCAACGAUGAUGCUGUUCUGAGAAAAUGCACCCCUUAGGUACUGUGUUCACUGUUGAUGAGAUCCUGCCCUAUCAACAAGCUACAGAACUCUCACCAGCCGAAGUACAGUCAGGUCUGCCAUGAGUACAGACAGCAGCACUGAAUGGGUCCCUCCAGUUGAUCUGAGCCACCUUACUGAAUAGGAGUGCUCUCUAGUAAACCAGAUGUUGAAGGAGGAGGCAGGAGCAUUUGUCAAAGAUGACAACGAUUUGGGAUGCAUUAAGGACCUGUGAAUAUGCACAUGCAUCUCCAAGAUGACCUGCAAGAUUUGAUAAAUCAAGGAUGGGCCUCAAAGUCUGAAUCCCCAGAUUUAUCACUAGUAGUGUGUGUUAGAAAGAAGGACUGGUCACUUCGGCUAUGUAUCGACUACUGGGAACUCAACUGCAAGACAGUACCGGACAGGAAACCAAUCCUUCAAAUCCAGGAUGUCCUUGACAGUCUUGGUGGGAAUUCCUGGUUUUCCACAGUUGACAUCUUAGUCUAUGGCGAUACAUUUGAAAGUCACCUCUAGCAUCUUCGUUGGGUCUUGCAACGGUUGAAGGAGAAAGGCUAGUACCUUACUUUACCUAGUAAAUGCAGCUUUUUCCAGAAAGAGGUCCACUACCUGGGAUAUUUGUCUGGAGUGAAGGCUACAGUGUGGAUCCAGCUGAUGUGGCAGCCGUAGAGUCAAUCUGUGAGAAGAAACCAGGUACUGUGGGUGAGUUAAGGAAGAUGCUGGGUCUGUUGGGGUACUACCACCAGUACAUUCAGAAUUUUUCCCGUAUCACCAAGACACUUUACGAGUUACUACAGAAGCCAGGCUGAGACAAUCUAUCUUCAGUGAGCAAUGAGAAAUCAAGGAAAUCAUCUAGGACAAUGACAAAGAAAAACCAAGCCUCACAGGUCUCAUCACGACAGACAAUCACCUGGUUAGAUAAACGUCAGGCUAUCUUGGAGCACCUGCUGGAUUGUCUGAUGUCCCCUUCAGUGACGGGUUUGCCAAACCAUGAAAGGCCAUUCAUCCUUCAUACAGAUGCCCCCCAUGAAGGAUUAGAAGCAGUACUCUACCAAGAACACGGUAGCAAGAAAGAGGUUAUUAGCUAUGAUC